ensembl:snoRNA snoRNA:Psi28S-3316c snoRNA:Psi28S-3316c
CAGCACCUAAAAGCGUUUUCUUAUCAGCUUGAUAAAUGCUCUUGAAAAUCGUAGAUGUGUGCAAUAGCAAUAUCUACAAUAGCUUGGGAUUCAGUUUCUAUAUAACUUCAAUCCGUUCAGAUUGUAAACAUCC